CCUACGGGAGGCAGCAGUGGGGAAUAUUGGACAAUGGGGGAAACCCUGAUCCAGCGACGCCGCGUGAGUGAAGAAGUAUUUCGGUACGUAAAGCUCUAUCAGCAGGAAAGAAAAUGACGGUACCUGACUAAGAAGCCCCGGCUAACUACGUGCCAGCAGCCGCGGUAAUGCGUAGGGGGAAAGCGUUAUCCGGAUUUACUGGGUGUAAAGGGAGCGUAGACGGCAGCGCAAGUCUGGAGUGAAAUGCCGGGGCGCAACCCCGGAACUGCACUGGAAACUGUGAAGCUGGAGUGCAGGAGAGGUAAGCGGAAUUCCUGGUGUAGCGGUGAAAUGCGUAGAUAUCAGGAGGAACACCGGCGGCGAAGGCGGCUUACUGGACUGUAACUGACGUUGAGGCUCGAAGGCGUGGGGAGCAAACAGGAUUAGAUACCCCGGUAGUC
rnacentral:rRNA from 1 species